GGGGGGGGGGGGGGGGGGGGCUGGGGCGGGGGGGUCGGGCGGGCGGGGGGGGAGGUUGGUCGUGUGGCGUUGGCGGCGGGCGGGUGGGUAACGCGUGGGGAACCUACCUAUAGGGCUGGGAUAACUUCGGGAAGCCGGAGCUAAUACCGGGUAAUAUAUUGAACCGCAUGGUUCAAUAGUGAAAGACGGUUUGUCUGUCACUUAUGGGUGGAUCCGCGCAGCAUUAGCUAGUUGGUAAGGUAACGGCUUACCAAGGCAACGCUGCGUAGCCGACCUGAGAGGGUGAUCGGCCACACUGGAACUGAGACACGGUCCAGACUCCUACGGGAGGCAGCAGUAGGGAAUCUUCCGCAAUGGGCGAAAGCCUGACGGAGCAACGCCGCGUGAGUGAUGAAGGUCUUCGGAUCGUAAAACUCUGUUAUUAGGGAAGAACAAAUGUGUAAGUAACUAUGCACGUCUUGACGGUACCUAAUCAGAAAGCCACGGCUAACUACGUG
rnacentral:rRNA from 1 species